CCUACGGGGGGCUGCAGUGGGGAAUAUUGGACAAUGGGGGCAACCCUGAUCCAGCCAUGCCGCGUGUGUGAAGAAGGCCCUCGGGUUGUAAAGCACUUUCAGUGAGGAAGAACGCCUGGUGGUUAAUACCCAUCAGGAAAGACAUCACUCACAGAAGAAGCACCGGCUAACUCCGUGCCAGCAGCCGCGGUAAUACGGAGGGUGCGAGCGUUAAUCGGAAUUACUGGGCGUAAAGCGCGCGUAGGUGGCUUGAUAAGCCGGUUGUGAAAGCCCCGGGCUCAACCUGGGAACGGCAUCCGGAACCGUCAAGCUAGAGUGCAGGAGAGGAAGGUAGAAUUCCCGGUGUAGCGGUGAAAUGCGUAGAGAUCGGGAGGAAUACCAGUGGCGAAGGCGGCCUUCUGGACUGACACUGACACUGAGGUGCGAAAGCGUGGGUAGCAAACAGGAUUAGAUACCCUAGUAGUC
rnacentral:rRNA from 1 species